rnacentral:rRNA from 1 species
UCCGUAGGUGAACCUGCGGAAGGAUCAUUACACAUAUUACGGGGGGUCGGUCACCCAGAGCGUCGCCUCUUAAGCAACCUCUGGGCUCCUGCCCUGUCUGAAUAUUCUACCCAUGUCUUUUGCGCACUCUUCGUUUCCUCGGUGGGCUUGCCUGCCGAUAGGACACUAUAAAACCUUUUUGUAAUUGCAAUCAGCGUCAGAAAAACUUUUAAUAGUUACAACUUUCAACAACGGAUCUCUUGGUCUGGCAUCGAUGAAGAACGCAGCGAAAUGCGAUAAGUAGUGUGAAUUGCAGAAUUCAGUGAAUCAUCGAAUCUUUGAACGCACAUUGCGCCCCUUGGUAUUCCAUGGGGCAUGCCUGUUCGAGCGUCAUUUGUACCCUCAAGCUCUGCUUGGUGUUGGGUGUUUGUCUCGCGUUUUCCGCGUGGACUCGCCUUAAAGCCAUUGGCAGCCGGCACAUUGGCCUUGGAGCGCAGCACAUUUUGCGCACCUAGUCAGUAGUGGUUGGCGUCCAUUAAGCCUAUACAUUUGCUCUUGACCUCGGAUCAGGUAGGGAUACCCGCUGAACUUAAGCAUAUCAAUAAGCGGAGGA